rnacentral:rRNA from 1 species
AGGGCGUACGGUGAAUGCCUUGGUGCCAACAGGCGAAGAAGGACGCGGCAAGCUGCGAAAAGCCUCGGGAAGCUGCAAGCAAGCGAUGAUCCGGGGAUAUCCGAAUGGGGUAACCUGAUCGAGGCAAUACUCGAUCGUUCAUACCUGAAUACAUAGGGUAUGAAACGCGAAACCCGCUGAAGUGAAACAUCUCAGUAAGCGGAGGAAAAGAAAGAGAAAUCGAUUCCGUAAGUAGUGGCGAGCGAAAGCGGAUGGAGCCCAAACCGAAGGUAUUCCUUCGGGGUUGUAGGACCACGUCAUAUUCGACCAUACUGGAUAGUAGAACAGCCUGGAAAGGCUGGCCGGAGAAGGUGAAAGCCCUGUAGACGAAAUCCAGAGUGGGAAUUAGUGGUAUCCUGAGUAAUACAUCACACGUGGAACGAUGUAUGAACCCGCGCGGACCACCGCGCAAGGCUAAAUACUAGUUGGCGACCGAUAGUGAACAAGUACCGCGAGGGAAAGGUGAAAAGAACCGCUGUGAGCGGAGUGAAAUAGAACCUGAAACCGUAUGUCUACAAAGUGUCAGAGCAGAGCAAUCUGCGAUGGCGUGCCUUUUGUUUAAUGAGUCUGCGAGUCAGUGUUUGUGGCAAGACUAAGGGCUUCCGGCCCGGAGUCGCAGCGAAAGCAAGUCCGAACAGGGCGCAAUAAGUCGCAGGUACUGGACCCGAAGCGGAGGUGACCUACCCUUGGCCAGGUUGAAGCAUGGGUAAAACCAUGUGGAGGACCGAACAGGUGAACGUUGAAAAGUUCUCUGAUGAGCUGAGGGUAGGAGUGAAAGGCUAAUCAAACCCCGUGAUAGCUGGUUCUCUUCGAAAUGCAUUUAGGUGCAGCGUCACGUGCUGAUGCGCGGGGGUAGAGCACUGACAAGGCUAGGGGGCACACCCGCUUACCAAACCUUAUCAAACUCCGAAUACCGUGCAAUGGAACGUGGCAGUGAGACAGUGGGGGAUAAGCUUCAUUGUCGAGAGGGAAACAACCCAGACCAGCAGCUAAGGUGCCUAAAUAACGCUCAGUGGAAAGGAUGUGGGAUUACACAGACAGUGAGGAUGUUGGCUUAGAAGCAGCCACCAUUUAAAAAAUGCGUAAUAGCUUACUCAUCGAGUGAUCCUGCGCCGAAAAUGAUUGGCGAUCAAGCGUUAUACCGAAGCUCUGGACUUUGCCGCAAGGCAGAGUGGUAGAAGAGCGUUGCAUGCGCGUCGAAGGGCGAUGGCGACUGACCCUGGAGCACAUGCAAGUGAGUAUGCAGACAUGAGUAACGUUAAGCCGGGUGAAAUCCCCGGCCGCCGUAAACCCGAGGUUUCCAGGGCAACGUGUUUCGUCCCUGGGUUAGCCGGGACCUAAGCCGAGGCCGAGAGGCGUAGGCGAUGGACAUCAGGUUAAUAAUCCUGAGCUCGCAACCCUUAAACUGGGGGGACGCAUGAGAAAAGAUGACUAGGUUAUUGAAUUCCGAGUUGAGUCUACGGACUCAGCGCAUCAUUGGAUCGAGUGCCAAGAAAAGCCCCAGCGUAUGCUAAGCGACCCGUACCGCAAACCGACACAGGUGGGUGGGUAGAAUAUACCAAGGCGUAAGAGUGAAACCUGGUUAAGGAACUCGGCAAAUUAGCCCCGUAACUUCGGAAGAAGGGGUGCCUGCAGCGAUGCAGGCCGCAGAGAAAUGGCCCAACCGACUGUUUAUCAAAAACACAGCACUCUGCAAAGACGCAAGUCGAAGUAUAGGGUGUGACACGUGACCAAUGCCGAAAGAUUAAGGCAAGGGGUUAGCCGCAAGGCGAAGCUCUAAACCCAAGUCCCGGUGAAUGUCGGCCGUAACUAUAACGGUCCUAAGGUAGCGAAAUUCCUUGUCGGGUAAGUUCCGACCUGCACGAAUCGUGAAACGAGUUGGGCACUGUCUCAACCAGGCGCUCAGUGAAAUUGUAGUGGCGGUGAAGAUGCCGCCUACCCGCAGAAGGACGGAAAGACCCUAUAGACCUUAACUGUAAGCUGUCAUUGUUUCUUCGGUUUUAAUGCUCAGAGUAAGUGGGAGACGCUGAAGACGCCCUUUAGGGGGCGUCCGAGUCAUCAAUGAGACACCACCCUUUGAAACUGGAGGAUCUAACCCUGAGCCGUGAAUCCGGCCAGAGGACCGUGUCAGCCGGUCAGUUUUACUGGGGCGGUAUCCUCCCAAAGAGUAACGGAGGAGCGCGAAGGUGGGCUCAGCCCGGUUGGCAACCGGGUGUCGAGUGCAUGGGCAUAAGCCCGCCUAACUGUGAGACCAACAAGUCGAGCAGAUGCGAAAGCAGGCCCAAGUGAUCCGGCGGUAGAAAGUGGAAUUGCCGUCGCUCAACGGAUAAAAGGUACCUUAGGGAUAACAGGCUGAUCACGCCCAAGAGUUCAUAUCGACGGCGUGGUUUGGCACCUCGAUGUCGGCUCGUCGCAUCCUGGGGCUG